rnacentral:rRNA from 1 species
GACGAACGCUGGCGGCGUGCUUAACACAUGCAAGUCGAACGGAAAGGCCCUGCUUUUGUGGGGUGCUCGAGUGGCGAAGGGGUGAGUAACACGUGAGUAACAUGCCCUUGUCUUUGGGAUAAAUUCAGGAAACUGGGGCUAAUACCGGAUAGGAGCUCCUGCAGCAUGGGGGGGGUUGGAAAGUUCCGGCGGUUGGGGAUGGACUGGCGGCUUAUCAGCUUGUUGGGGGGGUAGUGGCUUACCAAGCCUUUGACGGGUAGCCGGCCUGAGAGGGUGACCGGCCACAUUGGGACUGAGGUACGCCCCAGACUGCAACGGGAGGCAGCAGGGGAGAAUAUGACACAGUGGGCCGGAGCCUGAGGCGGCAACGCCGCGUGCGUGAUGACGGCCUUCUGGUUGUAAACCGCUUUCGCCUGUGACGAAGCGUGAGUGACGGUAAUGGGUAAAGAAGCACCGGCUAACUACGUG